GACGAACGCUGGCGGCGUGCUUAACACAUGCAAGUCGAGCGGUAAGGCCCUUUCGGGGGUACACGAGCGGCGAACGGGUGAGUAACACGUGGGUGACCUGCCCUCAGCUCUGGGAUAAGCCUGGGAAACCGGGUCUAAUACUGGAUAUGACUCCAUGACGCAUGUUGUGGGGUGGAAAGCCUUGUGCGGCUGAGGAUGGGCCCGCGGCCUAUCAGCUUGCUGGUGGGGUGAUGGCCUACCAAGGCGACGACGGGUAGCCGGCCUGAGAGGCGACCGGCCACACUGGGACUGAGACACGGCCCAGACUCCUACGGGAGGCAGCAGGUGGGGAAUCUUGCGCAAUGGGCGAAAGCCUGACGCAGCGACGCCGCGUGAGGGAUGACGGCCU
rnacentral:rRNA from 1 species